AACGAACGCCGGCGGCAGGCUUAACACAUGCAAGUCGAGCGCCCCGCAAGGGGAGCGGCAGACGGGUGAGUAACGCGUGGGAAUCUACCCAUCUCUACGGAAUAACGCAUGGAAACGUGUGCUAAUACCGUAUACGUCCUUCGGGAGAAAGAUUUAUCGGAGAUGGAUGAGCCCGCGUUGGAUUAGCUAGUUGGUGGGGUAAAGGCCUACCAAGGCGACGAUCCAUAGCUGGUCUGAGAGGAUGAUCAGCCACACUGGGACUGAGACACGGCCCAGACUCCUACGGGAGGCAGCAGUGGGGAAUAUUGGACAAUGGGCGCAAGCCUGAUCCAGCCAUGCCGCGUGAGUGAUGAAGGCCCUAGGGUUGUAAAGCUCUUUCACCGGUGAAGAUAAUGACGGCAACCGGAGAAGAAGCCCCGGCUAACUUCGUGCCAGCCGCCGCAGUAACAC
rnacentral:rRNA from 1 species